AAGUUUUCGUAGGGUGGGGAGAGCUGAGCCCAGAGCUGAGAGCAGGGGAGGAAAAAAAACACUGCAAAGUUGCAGUGCCUGAGUUGACUCUUUGUGCUGCAGACUUUUGUGAUACCUUUCCAAAGCGCCUUUCUUUUUGCUCUCUGUGGGGCUAGGAUUCAGCAGUAACCGUUGCUUAGCAAACCCCGAGGGGCAGCUGAUCCAAAGAGCUUUCCACCCCAGUGAUCAGUGAACCUGACAAGCCUGUGGAUCAAGUAUCACCGAUGAAAACAAAGUUAUCUCCGUUCAGAAUAGACCCUAUCUUGUGAUAUGUAAUUUGCCAUGGGGACAUCAGAGCAAAAUCAGCCAAUAGGUUGUUCUCAUGUUAGCUGAACUGCCCUAGCCAAAUGCUGGACAAAGAUACCUGGGGGGAGAGAAAAAAGAAGGUGACAAGAGAUUGUUCCCUGGCAAUACUGCUGAUUGGCAGAGAUAAACACAAAUAACUUGGGAGGAUAAUUGAGUUAAUGAAAAGUGUUAUAAUGAGAAGAGUUUUCAUUCUGAAAGUCCAUCUGGUGAAAGGAUUCUGCCUUUUCACGACGAGAGACUCUCUCGCAACAAAAGACCGUGGCUUAACAAGUUUGAACAGCAAACAGGAGGCAGAUGCAAAGUAGCUUUCCUUGUUAUGCCCCCCUGCAAUUUUAUAGUUUGCGCCUCAUUUUUUCUAUUAAAUAAAUCCUCAUCUACAGAAUAGGUGGAAAGGUGGGCAGCCCAGUUCACUUUUUAAGCUGACAAUUUCUUUUCUCGUCAUCUUAACUUGCAGCAGGAUGCUGGGUUUUUUUUUUUUCAGAAGUUGCAUGAUUUUACUAUCAGUCUCUGGUCCGUGGUGCAGGCAAGUUCUUUAACCAGAAGAGUGCGAAUUACAUUUCUCAUUUCGUCCCCCCUCUUCUUUG